rnacentral:rRNA from 1 species
UGACGUAUGCGCUUGUCUCGAAGAUUUAGCCAUGCAAGUUAGCGAAGUUUAGAUGAAGCGACGGACAGCUCAGUAAUACAGUUAUAAUUUACUCGUAGUGUAUAUACGGAUAACCAUGGCAAGCUAUGGCUAAUACGUGGACGGAUUAUUGCAACGGGGAGACGGCGAUAAUUUAAAGAGUGAUCUACUACGAUUAAGUUUCUGACCUAUUAGCUAGAUGGUAGGGUAAGGGCCUACCAUGGCGAUGAUGGGUAACGGGGAAUCAGUGUUUGAUACCGGAGAGGGAGCCUGAGAAAUAGCUCCCACGUCCAAGGAUGGCAGCAGGCGCGAAACUUACCCAAUUCCUAUAGGGAGAGGUAGUGAAGAGACGUGUUUUAUUAAUAAGGCUACAUUUUAAAUAUAUGAUUGCCCGAUUGGAGGGCAAGUCUGGUGCCAGCAGCCGCGGUAAUUCCAGCUCCAAUAGCGCAUAUGAUAGUUGCUGCAGUUAAAACGUCCGUAGUUGACCACCUUAUUACUGUGAGGAAAUUAUGUUUCUCAAAGACUAGUAUUAUAGCAUGGAAUAAUGUGGAGAAAGGAACAGAUGAUGGCAAUAGUAUUCAAUAGCGAGGGGUGAAAACUGAUGACCUGUUGAGGACUACCUGAGGCGAAGGCGAUUGUCAAGUAUGUAUCCGUUAAUCAAGGACUUAAGCUGGAGGAUCGAAGAUGAUUAGAUACCGUCGUAGUUCCAGCUGUAAACGAUGCCUACUAUGUUAUAGUUUAAACUGUGACAUUAGGAGAAAUCAAAGUGUAUAGGCUCUGGGGAUAGUAUUAAUGCAAAUUAGAAACUUAAAGAAAUUGACGGAAGGACACCACAAGGAGUGGAUUGUGCGGCUUAAUUUGACUCAACGCGGGACAACUUACCAGGGCCCAAUGUGUAGGAAAAUGGCGAUUUGAGAGAAUCCCCAUGAUUAUGCAGGAGGUGGUGCAUGGCCGUUUUCAACACGUGGGGUGACCUGUCAGGUUAAAUCCUUUAACGCGUGAGGCUGUGAACUAUUAAUUUUAAUAUUGACGGAUGGCGGCAAGCCAUAGGAAGCACGGCGAUAACAGGUCAGUGAUGCCCCUAGAUGUUCUGGGUUGCACGCGCAAUACAAUGGGAUGGAGAAUUUUAUACGCUGAGAAGUAUGUAUGUAAUUCAUUCCGAAGCAGGGAUAAGCUUUUGUAAAUAAGUUUUGAACGAGGAAUUCCUAGUAAUCGCAAGUCAUUAAGUUGCGAUGAAUGAGUCCCUGUUCUUUGUACACACCGCCCGUCACUAUCUCAGAUGGAUGUAUAGGUGAAGUGUGUGGAGACGAAAGUUGAAGCAAGCUGAACCUGUGCAACUAGAUAAGAUGU